rnacentral:rRNA from 1 species
UCAAAAGACAAAGAGCGUAUGGUGGAUACCUAGGCACUCAGAGACGACGAAGGGCGUGGUUACCGACGAAACCCUCCGAGAAGCUGGAAGCAAGCAAUGAUCCGGAGAUUCCCGAAUUGGGCAACCAAUAAAACGUGCAACUGAAUUCAUAAGUUGUAACGAGUCAACCUAGUGAAUUGAAACAUCUUAGUAGCUAGAGGAAAAGAAAGCAAACGCGAUUCCCUGAGUAGUGGCGAGCGAAAAGGGAACAGCCUAAACCGACAUUAAGUCGGUGUUGUGGGACCAGUAAAUAAGUAAAAAUUUUGCUUAAAUGAAGCAGCUGAAUACUGCACCAAAGAUGGUGAAAGUCCAGUAAUUUAAAAGCAAAUAAUACAAAAUGGAUAUCCCAAGUAGCAUGGGGCACGUGAAAUCCCGUGUGAAUCUACGAGGACCACCUCGUAAGGCUAAAUACUCCUGAGUGACCGAUAGUGUACUAGUACCGCGAGGGAAAGGUGAAAAGAACCCCCUUAGGGGAGUGAAAUAGACCAUGAAACCGUAUGCUUACAAGCAGUGGAAGGUGUAAAGUGCUGACCGCGUGCCUGUUGAAGAAUGAGCCGGCGACUUAUAAAGAGUGGCUUGGUUAAGACAUCAAGUCGAAGCCGUAGCGAAAGCGAGUCUGAAUAGGGCGAAUUCGUCACUUUUUAUAGACCCGAACCCGGGUGAUCUAACCAUGACCAGGAUGAAGCUUCGGUGAAACGAAGUGGAAGUCCGAACCGACCGAUGUUGAAAAAUCGGCGGAUGAGUUGUGGUUAGGGGUGAAAUGCCAAUCGAACUCGGAGCUAGCUGGUUCUCCCCGAAAUGCGUUGAGGCGCAGCGGUGAAAGAAAAAAGUUUAGGGGUAAAGCACUGUUUCGGUGCGGGCUGCGAGAGCGGUACCAAAUCGUCGCAAACUCAGAAUACUAAACUGUAAAUUCACCAGUGAGACAGUGGGGGAUAAGCUUCAUUGUCGAAAGGGAAACAGCCCAGAUCCACAGCUAAGGCCCCAAAAUGACGGCUGAGUGGCAAAGGAGGUGAGAGUGCAGAAACAACCAGGAGGUUUGCCUAGAAGCAGCCACCCUUAAAAGAGUGCGUAAUAGCUCACUGGUCAAGCGCUCUUGCGCCGAAAAUGAAUGGGACUAAGCCGUCUGCCGAAGCUUGGAGACCUUUUUAGGUCGGUAGGGGAGCGUUCCGCACUAGGGUGAAGUUAAUACGGAAGUAUUGAUGGACGAAGCGGAAGUGAGAAUGUCGGCUUGAGUAACGCAAACAUUGGUGAGAAUCCAAUGCCCCGAAAACCUAAGGGUUCCUCCCCAAGGUUCGUCCAAGGAGGGUGAGUCAGGUCCUAAGGCGAGGCCGAAAGGCGUAGUCGAUGGAAAACAGGUUAAAAUUCCUGUACUAUAUAAAAGUGCGUACCGAGGGACGAAGAAGGCUAAGUGAGCUAAAUUUUGGAUUUUAGUGCAAGUGGACAAUGCGUCGAUAAAAAGAAAAAAAACUUUUUAGAGCAAAGUCACAAGUCGACAACUUAUUUUUCGAAAUAAGUUGUUUCACGUACGUCAUACUUCCAAGAAAAGCUCGUACUACGGAUGACUUGUAUAUACCUGUACCCAAAACCGACACAGGUAGGUAAGUAGAGAAUACUAAGGGGCGCGAGAUAACUCUCUCUAAGGAACUCGGCAAAAUGGCCCCGUAACUUCGGGAGAAGGGGUGACGACAUUUUAAAUGUCGCCCGCAGUGACCAGGCCCAGGCGACUGUUUACCAAAAACACAGGUCUCCGCAAAAUCGUAAGAUAAAAUAUGGGGGCUGACGCCUGCCCAGUGCCGGAAGGUUAAGGAAGUCGGUCAGGGCGCAAGCCUAAAGCUGGCGACUGAAGCCCCGGUGAACGGCGGCCGUAACUAUAACGGUCCUAAGGUAGCGAAAUUCCUUGUCGGGUAAGUUCCGACCCGCACGAAAGGCGUAACGAUCUGGAUGGUGUCUCAGAGAGAGACUCGGCGAAAUAGGAAUGUCUGUGAAGAUACGGACUGCCUGCACCUGGACAGAAAGACCCUAUGAAGCUUUACUGUAGCCUGUAAUUGGCUCCGGGCUGUGUUUGCGCAGGAUAGGUGGGAGGCUUUGAGAUUGCCCUUGUGGGGGCAGUGGAGCCAACGGUGAGAUACCACUCUAACACAGCUAGGAUUCUAACUUGGCGCCGUAAUCCGGCACGAGAACAGUUGCAGGUGGGCAGUUUGACUGGGGCGGUCGCCUCCUAAACGGUAACGGAGGCGCGCAAAGGUUCCCUCAGCACGCUUGGAAACCGUGCAUAGAGUGUAAAGGCAUAAAGGGAGCUUGACUGCAAGAGCGACAACUCAAGCAGGGACGAAAGUCGGCCUUAGUGAUCCGACGGCACUGAGUGGAAGGGCCGUCGCUCAACGGAUAAAAGUUACUCUAGGGAUAACAGGCUGAUCUCCGCCAAGAGUUCACAUCGACGCGGAGGUUUGGCACCUCGAUGUCGGCUCAUCGCAACCUGGGGCGGAAGUACGUCCCAAGGGUUGGGCUGUUCGCCCAUGAAAGCGGUACGUGAGCUGGGUUCAGAACGUCGUGAGACAGUUCGGUCCAUAUCCGGUGUAGGCGUUAGAGCAUUGAGAGGAUCUUUCUCUAGUACGAGAGGACCGAAAAGCCUUAUGGGUGAAGGACGUACCGCUGGUAUACCAGUUCUCGUGCCAACGGGAAACGCUGGGUAGCUACGUACGGAGUGGAUAACUGCUGAAAGCAUCUAAGUAGGAAGCCUACCUCAAGAUGAGUGCUCUCUUAAGAUCACGGUAAGACUAACCGUUUGAUAGGAGUCAAGUAUAAGGCUUGUAAAAGUUGUAGCUGAGACUUUCUAAUAGAUCGAUAGAAUU